rnacentral:rRNA from 1 species
GAUGAACGCUAGCUACAGGCUUAACACAUGCAAGUCGAGGGACCGGCGCACGGGUGAGUAACACGUAUCCAACCUGCCCUUUACUCGGGGAUAGCCUUUCGAAAGAAAGAUUAAUACCCGAUGUAAAGGAUGGGGAUGCGUUCCAUUAGGUUGUUGGUGAGGUAACGGCUCACCAAGCCUUCGAUGGAUAGGGGUUCUGAGAGGAAGGGCCCCAACAUUGGAACUGAGACCCGGUCCAAACUCGUACGGGAGGAGGAAGUAGGGAAAAUUGGUAAAUGGGCGUUAGCCGGAACCAGCCAAGUAGCGGGAGGAUGAAGGCUUAUGGGUCGUAAACUUCUUUUAUAUAAGAAUAUGUAUUAUAUGAAUAAGGAUCGGCUAACUCCGUGCCAGCAGCCGCGGUAAUAC